UACGUAGGGCGCAAGCGUUGUCCGGAAUUAUUGGGCGUAAAGAGCUCGUAGGCGGCUUGUCACGUCGGAUGUGAAAGCCCGGGGCUUAACCCCGGGUCUGCAUUCGAUACGGGCUAGCUAGAGUGUGGUAGGGGAGAUCGGAAUUCCUGGUGUGGCGGUGAAAUGCGCAGAUAUCAGGAGGAACACCGGUGGCGAAGGCGGUGCUCUGGGCCAGUACUGACGCUGAGGAGCGAAAGCGUGGGGAGCAAACAGG
rnacentral:rRNA from 1 species